rnacentral:rRNA from 1 species
AAUGAACGCUGGCGGCAGGCCUAAAACAUGCAAGUCGAACGCCCUAGCAAUAGGGAGUGGCGCACGGGUGAGUAACAUGUGGGAAUGUGCCUUUUGGUACGGAACAACGUUUGGAAACGAACGCUAAUACCGUAUGGUCCCUCCGGGGUAAAGAUUUAUCGCCAAAAGAUUAGCCCGCACUAGAUUAGCUAGUUGGUAAGGUAAUGGCUUACCAAGGCGACGAUCUAUAGCUGUUCUGAGAGGAAGAUCAGCCACACUGGGACUGAGACACGGCCCAGACUCCUACGGGAGGCAGCAGUUAGGAAUAUUGGACAAUGGGCGCAAGCCUGAUCCAGCCAUGCCGCGUGAGUGAUGAAGGCCUUCGGGUUGUAAAGCUCUUUAGCCGACGAAUAUAAUGACUGUUGUCGGAGAAUAAGCCCCGGCUAACUUCGUGCCAGCCGCCGCUGUAACAC